UUUUUGGAGAGUUUGAUCCUGGCUCAGGACGAACGCUGGCGGCGUGCCUAAUACAUGCAAGUCGAGCGAGUCUCUUCGGAGACUAGCGGCGGACGGGUGAGUAACACGUAGGCAACCUGCCCGUAAGACCGGGAUAACGUUCGGAAACGAACGCUAAUACCGGAUAGGUGGAGAGAAGGCAUCUUCUUUCCUGGAAAGGCGGAGCAAUCUGCCACUUACGGAUGGGCCUGCGGCGCAUUAGCUAGUUGGCGGGGUAACGGCCCACCAAGGCGACGAUGCGUAGCCGACCUGAGAGG
rnacentral:rRNA from 1 species